UACAGAGGUCUCAAGCGUUGUUCGGAUUCAUUGGGCGUAAAGGGUGCGUAGGCGGCGCGGUAAGUCGGGUGUGAAAUCUCGGAGCUUAACUCCGAAACUGCAUUCGAUACUGCCGUGCUUGAGGACUGGAGAGGAGACUGGAAUUUACGGUGUAGCGGUGAAAUGCGUAGAUAUCCGGAGGAACACCGGUGGCGAAGGCGGCUUCCUGGACCGACACUGACGCUGGAGGCGCGAAAGCUAGGGGGAGCAAACGGG
rnacentral:rRNA from 1 species